CUAAUACGCUUGAUCCACAGUUGA
rnacentral:siRNA from 1 species